AGGAUGAACGCUGGCGGUAUGCUUAACACAUGCAAGUCGAACGGUGCUUUCGGGCACAGUGGCGGACGGGUGAGUAACGCGUGAGAAUCUGGCUUCAGGUCUGGGACAACCACUGGAAACGGUGGCUAAUACCGGAUGUGCCGAGAGGUGAAAGGUUAACUGCCUGAAGAUGAGCUCGCGUCUGAUUAGCUAGUUGGAAGUGUAAUGGACUCCCAAGGCGACGAUCAGUAGCUGGUCUGAGAGGACGAUCAGCCACACUGGGACUGAGACACGGCCCAGACUCCUACGGGAGGCAGCAGUGGGGAAUUUUCCGCAAUGGGCGAAAGCCUGACGGAGCAAUACCGCGUGAGGGAGGAAGGCUCUUGGGUCGUAAACCUCUUUUCUCAGGGAAGAACAAAAUGACGGUACCUGAGGAAUAAGCAUCGGCUAACUCCGUGCCAGCAGCCGC
rnacentral:rRNA from 1 species